GCCAGCCCAGCUUCAGAGCUGUGCCUUCCCUUGACAGUGACACUGAGUGUGUACUGCCCCAUUGCCCAGCAAGCCUUCCAUCCCGACCAUCCACUGCACCCAAGCUUGGAAACCCUUUUAUUUCUUGUGCUGGCCCUGGAAAAUUGGAGGAAGCAGCAGGAAACCCUAUGCCCAGGUUUUAUCAGGUCAGUCUGAUCCACCCAGAAGCUGAUGCACCCUGAGCAGGGGCGGCCCACAGGAAUGCUCCUACCUGGAGGAUGCAGCCAAGCUGCCUCAGAGCUGGUGGCCUUGCAGGUGGCCCCCAGCGCUGAGCCACAGCAGCUAUGAAGACAGCCCCCAGCCCAGGCCACCCCGAUGGCGAGAGUCUGGAUUGCUACAGAUCAGGCUUGGUUGCGGGGGCUCAGUCUGAUGCCUGCAAUGAACAAGCUGCAACUACAUAAAAUACAGCUUGUGAGUAGUGGCAGGCUGGAGGCAAAAGAGGGGAAGACACAAAUCAUCCAGGCAUGGAGAGGAAGAGAUAAUGAGAAAAGGAGCUGAAACCUAAAGAACCUCCUGAGAAAGGGGGAGCCCCUCAGCUGUAAAGACAAAACAAAUGCGUUUGCCUUUGAAACGACUGUGACUGUGACGCUGCUGGCUGGAAGAGCUGUCUGCAUUUAAAACGGUGUGACUGCGUGAAGUGGGAACGAUGUGUAUACAGCACACGGUAGUGAAGCAGGAAAGUUGAGGAUUUCAAGUGACCUCUCGGAAGCUGUGCAGACCAUGUGGAGAGCAGCUUCCUGCUAGCAUUGCCUUCAAGGACAAUGCCACUCUAGACAGAUGCUUUGGCUCCACAGGACAUUGUUAGGAACUGAAGAUCUUGCCCAAGAAAUCACUAAACAUUGAAGCCAAACAAGCAUAACACACUCUUUGACGAAGCACAUUAUUCAUGCCACUUCAGUGAGGGGCCUUCACCUUCACUGAUGGCAACUGCUCACCGACAAUCAUCGCAGAUGGAAUUUCAACAAAAAGAUGUAAAGCAUAAUGCGAGCUGGAAGCAGCAAUGACUGUGGCUGAUUUUAAGCAGGGAAAUGGGCUUGAUUUUUAUAGAUGUCUUUUGCACUUCAAAAAAGUACUGUUAUUGCAGAUACCAAACUGAGUAAGAAAUAUGCUGCCAGUGCAGACAAAACACUCCUCAAAGCCUGUUAUUAAUAGAGAGGCAGUGGCAUUGCCAGCAAGAUAAAAAGGUCAGGAAGGGCUUUUAGCCAUUUUUCAAUAUAUAUAAAAUAUAUAUAUAUAUAUAGUCAUAUUGUGAUGUGAAGAAGUGCAAAUGAGGCUAACACUGGGUUUGUACCAGGAUGGCAACACAAAUGCACCACCAUUAAAUGUCUGUGGAACAACAAAGCCAAAUGCCAAGAACCCUGGCCCUAAGGAUGGAAGAUGGGACAUACCGUUGCCUUCUGGGGUCAGAGGUCUGAGACCUGGGCAAACAGGGACUGAAAGCACUACAGAAAGCAGGAGAUUGUUAUUACUGCUGUUCUUGAAAGCAGUAGAGCUUCACUGAGAGUUCAGGAAAAAGUUUGGAAAUAUUUUCGAUUUGCUUCAACACUUUCUUGGUAUGUGAAAAAUGCCCAUAAGAUAUAAAGCCUCAGAAUUUACAGAAACUUAAAAAUUAAAAACAACAACAAAAACAACAUACAAGCAAACCAACAAAACAAAAAUCUGAAGAUCUGGGAAAGCUGACUGAGGAAUAAAAGAACUACCCUCCUCAAAAGAAGCAGAACAAAUUUUAUUAAAAAAAGGCAAAAAUGAAGAAGUCCAUACAACAAACCCUAUGGAGAACAGAUGCCUAAAAAAUGAUUGAACAUGUGAAAAGUGUUUUUUUUUUCUUUUUAAAAUACUUAGUAUUUUUUUGGAUGUUUGCCAUAUCAGAUUUUUUUUUUCAUCAUUUAGAUAUUUGUUAAUCUGUUACUGUGCGUUGGAUGGGCUCUUUCUUCUAUAUGAGUUCUUUUUAACAAUUAUAUCUACGAUGACAUCUAACAAACUUCUGUAAAAAUAUGGCACCAAAAUUUAUUUCCAACUUACAGAAGAGGGAUUGCUAGAAGAAUUUUCAUUAAAGAAUGGAUUUGCAAGAAGUGAUUUUGCCUAUUACUAUGUGGUAUUUUUUUUCUAAUGUACAGCCUUGUUAAAAAACUGAACACAUGGAAUUGAAAUAACCUCCAUCUUUCCUCUAAAACAAUUUUUCUAAUAGCAUUAACUGAACCAAAUAACUACCCGAGGGCCUAAUUUUAGCCAAAUCUGUAUAACCUGAAUUCAAUUUACAAUCAAGAAAGAAUGAAGCAUUUGAUCCUGGAUUUUGCACCCUCACAUUUCUGCUUGCAGGCCAGACUCAACCAUUAAUUCUUUUUCAGAAGUGUUUAAAGCCCUAAAUCUGAAAUUAUUGGCAGUACUGGUUUAAGUGUUUACAGAAUUGGAGCUUAAUAUACUUCUGAAAAAGGAUGAAUUGGUAACCUGUGAGGAAAAACAUAUUUAAACUACAACUGCAGAACAAUUUCCAAGAGUGCUGUUUUUGGUAGCACACAACAUUUCCCUCUAGCCAACAAGAGAAAAUAGUGCAGUCAUUAAAGUUCUUUUUAGAAUUUUGCCUGAAAAUCCCAGCACUAAAGUACUUUUUGUCAGAACUUUGAUAAAACAAAAGCUUAGUUCUCCUUACUUUAAGAAUAUUUCAGAAUAUAAGAUAAAGAAAUUAUGACUUCAGCCAUAUUCCUUGACUUCUUUAUAGCUUGUAAAACUGUGUAAAACAUUGUCAAUGUGACAAUGAAAUAGUGGCUGAGAAAAAUUCAAAAUGUAAAAUAUUAUUUAAAUUACCAAUAAAAAGUAUGUGUUUUUUUUCCUACCUUUUUAAGGCAUUUUAUAAAUGCAUUAAUAGUUUGUUGGAAUACCAGCUUUAUUUCUAUUUCCUCCAAGGCAGUAAGGUAUAACUGAUAGGGAGAAAUAUCCUAUCUAUGUUGAUAGGAAAACAUUGGUCUUAAUAUCACUACAUAAUAAAAUGAAAAAAUAAUUUAUGUAGUUCUAUGGUUUAGUUUAAUUACUUAUCUCUUUCAGGAUAUUUUUUAUUAUAGUUUUAUUGCAAUCAAAACAUUUUUUAAACAAUUUAGUAAAUGCCAUAAGGUACCAACACAUCUUUAAUGGCCAGUUUUUCUAUUGAUAUAAAUCACACACUUUUAUCACAUAGACUAGUCAGUAUAAAAAGUCAAAAAUAUGUGUAUGUUUUUGAAAAAACAAACAACAUUUAAAUAAGCAAGUUUUUGUCUCUGUGCAAUAGAGAAAGUAUAAAGACAAUUAUUUUAUAAAGAAGUAGAAUCUCAGAUGCUCAGAAAAUGCAUUAUAAUUUAUCAUAAUGUAUGUUAUCAUACAUGUUAUCACAUAAUAGCAUUUCAUUGUGGAAUAGUUUUCCCAAAAUUGAUUUCAUACUCAAAUUAAAAACUAUUCAACAGUUCAAAGUGAAAUUUAAAAUCUUACCUUCUGGAAAAAAAAAAAAAAAAAAAACCUUUAUAACCUUUUGUUAUAUCUUUCCUUUCAAAAUUAAUCCAUACUCAGUAACAUCUCCCUUAUUUGAUUCAUAUAUUCUAACCUCCAGAUAAAAGUCCUGUAACAUUAAGAUAUGCAAACUGCCAACAAUCUUACAUGGUUUUCAAUGUUAGAAAUCCUGAAUUUUGAGCACUUUUUAAAAAAGAGAGAUAUUUCUGGAUUAGGAAGUGUUUCGCACAGGAUGAAAAUAGAAAGUGUAGGAAAUGUAAGCCAUUUUUUCCUUCGACUGAAUGCAUAUCCAUUUUCAGAUCUCUGUCUGGUGCUCUUUGAUCUGCUCUUUCCCUUAUACUUUAAAUAGAAAAGAGUCUGAAUGGGAUCUUAAAUCGCUUCAAAUCAGAACAGGUCAUCUAUGUGAAACCCCUUGUACUUCAACAAGGUCCUCCCCCUGUCUCAGCUAUCUGGGGACAGUUCGCAGACUCUCAGGAAAGUUGG